rnacentral:rRNA from 2 species
GUACUUGGUGUUACUGCGAAGGGGGGACGGAGAAGGCUAUGUUGGCCGGGCGACGGUUGUCCCGGUUUAAGCGUGUAGGUGUGUGUUCCAGGUAAAUCCGGUUCACUUUAACACUGAGGCGUGAUGACGAGGCACUACGGUGCUGAAGCAACAAAUGCCCUGCUUCCAGGAAAAGCCUCUAAGCAUCAGGUAACAUCAAAUCGUACCCCAAACCGACACAGGUGGUCAGGUAGAGAAUACCAAGGCGCUUGA